AUUCCAGCUCCAAUAGCGUAUAUUAAAGUUGUUGCAGUUAAAAAGCUCGUAGUUGGAUUUCUGGCAGGAGGAGCCGGUCACACACUCUGUGCGUGAACUCGUGCUGUCUCUGGCCAUCCUCGGGGAGAUCCUGUUUGGCAUUAAGUUGUCGGGCAGGGGAUACCCGUCGUUUACUGUGAAAAAAUUAGAGUGUUUAAAGCAGGCUUAUGCCGUUGAAUAUAUUAGCAUGGAAUAAUAAGAUAGGACUUCGGAACUAUUUUGUUGGUUUGCGUUACGAAGUAAUGAUUAAUAGGGACAGUUGGGGGUAUUCGUAUUUCGUUGUCAGAGGUGAAAUUCUUGGAUUUCCGAAAGACGAACUACUGCGAAAGCAUUUACCAAGGAUGUUUUCAUUA
rnacentral:rRNA from 1 species